AACGGUCAUACCAUGCUGAAUAUACCGGUUCUCGUUAGAUCACCGAAGUCAAGCAUCAUUGGGCGCGGUCAGUACUUGGGUGGGUGACCACCUGGGAACACUGCGUGCCGUU
rnacentral:rRNA from 2 species